UACAGAGGGGGCAAGCGUUGUUCGGAAUUACUGGGCGUAAAGCGUGCGUAGGCGGUUUGUUAAGUCCGUUGGGAAAGCCCUGGGCUCAACCUGGGAAUUGCAGUGGAUACUGGCGAGCUAGAGUGCGGUAGAGGAUGGUGGAAUUCCCAGUGUAGCGGUGAAAUGCGUAGAGAUCGGGAGGAACACCCGUGGCGAAGGCGGCCAUCUGGACCAGCACUGACGCUGAGGCACGAAAGCGUGGGGAGCAAACAGG
rnacentral:rRNA from 1 species